rnacentral:rRNA from 1 species
GAUGAACGCUAGCGGCAGGCUUAAUACAUGCAAGUCGAACGGGAAUUGGGUAGCAAUACCUGAUGAUAGUGGCGCACGGGUGCGUAACGCGUAUGCAACCUACCUUUAACAGGGGGAUAGCCCGGAGAAAUUCGGAUUAAUACCCCAUAGUAUUAUGGAGAGGCAUCUUUUCAUGAUUAAAGUUCCGGCGGUUAAAGAUGGGCAUGCGUGCCAUUAGCUAGUUGGUGAGGUAACGGCUCACCAAGGCGACGAUGGUUAGGGGUCCUGAGAGGGUUAUCCCCCACACUGGUACUGAGACACGGACCAGACUCCUACGGGAGGCAGCAGUAAGGAAUAUUGGUCAAUGGGCGGAAGCCUGAACCAGCCAUGCCGCGUGCAGGAAGACGGCCUUAUGGGGUUGUAAACUGCUUUUGUCAGGGAAUAAACCCUCGUUUGCGAACGAGGCUGAAGGUACCUGAAGAUAAGCAUCGGCUAACUCCGUGCCAGCAGCCGCGGUAAAGAGUGCGU